rnacentral:misc_RNA from 1 species
UUUAAACCUAAUUUAAAUUUAUUAUUAAUAUUAUUCUUUAAAUUUAAAUACAAUUCAAAUUCGAAUAUAUUACGUAAAGUUGCCUUACUAAAAUUCGAUGAGUAAGAUAGCGACAAAAAUUUGAUCCAUUCAUAUCCUUAACCGUGCCUGCCCUAUCUGUAGGGUAAGCUAGAAAUGAGGGGAGACGCUACGUGACAAUAAAAGCAGAGCGAGAUGAGGUGGUCAACACCCUUCUCGUAAACUGUGCCCUUAUUUCUGACUUGUUUCGUUACUUUCAUGUCAGCA